rnacentral:rRNA from 1 species
CCCUUAGAUGUUCUGGGCCGCACGCGUGCUACACUGACCGGUGCAACAAGUUUCUUUCCUUGGCUCGAUAGGCCUGGGUAAUCUUUGAACACCGGUCGUGAUGGGGAUAGAUCCUUGCAAUUUUUGAUCUUCAACGAGGAAUUCCUAGUAAAUGCGAGUCAUCAUCUCGCGUUGAUUACGUCCCUGCCCUUUGUACACACCGCCCGUCGCACCUACCGAUUGAGUGAUCCGGUGAAUAAUUCGGACUGCAGCUUUGAACAGUCCCUGUUCUCGGCUUGCGGAAAGUUUAGUGAACCUUAUCACUUAGAGGAAGGAGAAGUCGUAACA